rnacentral:rRNA from 1 species
GGGAAUAUUGGGCAAUGGGCGCAAGCCUGACCCAGCAACGCCGCGCGAAGGAGGAAGGCUUUUGGGUUGUAGACUUCUUUUAUUCGGGACGAAGAAAGUGACGGUACUGAAUGAAUAAGCCACGGCUAACUACGUGCCAGAAGCCGCGGUAAUACGUAGGUGGCAAGCGUUAUCCGGAUUUAUUGGGUGUAAAGGGCGUGUAGGCGGGAAUGCAAGUCAGAUGUAAAAACUCAGGGCUCAACCCUGAGCCUGCAUUUGAAACUGUAUUUCUUGAGUGCUGGAGAGGCAAUCGGAAUUCCGUGUGUAGCGGUGAAGUGCGUAGAUAUACGGAGGAACACCAGUGGCGAAGGCGGAUUGCUGGACAGUAACUGACGCUGAGGCGCGAAAGCGUGGGGAGCAAAC